rnacentral:rRNA from 1 species
UGACGGGGGGCCCGCACAAGCGGUGGAGCAUGUGGUUUAAUUCGAAGCAACGCGAAGAACCUUACCAGGUCUUGACAUCCCGAUGCCCCGCUCUAGAGAUAGAGUUUUACUUCGGUACAUCGGUGACAGGUGGUGCAUGGUUGUCGUCAGCUCGUGUCGUGAGAUGUUGGGUUAAGUCCCGCAACGAGCGCAACCCUUAUUGUUAGUUGCCAUCAUUCAGUUGGGCACUCUAGCGAGACUGCCGGUAAUAAACCGGAGGAAGGUGGGGAUGACGUCAAAUCAUCAUGCCCCUUAUGACCUGGGCUACACACGUGCUACAAUGGCUGGUACAACGAGUCGCAAGUCGGUGACGGCAAGCUAAUCUCUUAAAGCCAGUCUCAGUUCGGAUUGUAGGCUGCAACUCGCCUACAUGAAGUCGGAAUCGCUAGUAAUCGCGGAUCAGCACGCCGCGGUGAAUACGUUCCCGGGCCUUGUACACACCGCCCGUCACACCACGAGAGUUUGUAACACCCGAAGUCGGUGAGGUAACC